rnacentral:tRNA from 1 species
UGGAAGGUGGCUCAGUGGUAGAGUGCUUGCCUUGCAUGCAUGAGGCCCUGGGUUCAAUUCCUCAGCAUCACAU